rnacentral:rRNA from 1 species
AUGAACGCUAGCGGCAGGCUUAAUACAUGCAAGUGAGGGGCAGCAUGAUAUACGCGAGUAUAUUGAUGGCGACCGGCGGACGGGUGAGUAAUAGGUAGGAGACCUACCUCAUACAGGGGGAUAGCAUAGAGAAAUCUGUGGUAAUACCCCAUGAGGUUAUAUGAAUAGAGGCAUAUAAUCAAAGCAUAAGCGAUUAUGCGGUAUGAGAGGGGCCUACUGACCAUUAGCUAGUUGGUGAGGUAAGGGCUCACCAAGGCGAAGAUGGUUAGGGGUUUUGAGAGAGAGACCCCCCACAUUGGAACUGAGAGACGGCCCAGACUCCUACGGGAGGCAGCAGUAGGGAAUAUUGGGCAAUGGGCGAAAGCCUGACCCAGCCAUGCCGCGUGAAGGAAGACGGCCUUAUGGGUUGUAAACUUCUUUACUACGCGAAUAGAGGUUAGUACGAGAUACUAAUAGGAAGGUAGUGUAGUAAAAAGCACCGGCUAACUCCGUG